rnacentral:lncRNA from 1 species
UCGUUCACACAAGGAGAAUAUAGUCGUAAAAAAGAUGAACAUGUGAUUUGCCAGUAGGAAUAUGCAAAUGACAUGACAAGGAAUUUCUUCCUCGCCCAAAGAAAUUGAUACUUCAGAGAAGUUCUAUUUCUUCUUUCAUUUUAAGCAUGCAAAUAAUACAUUUCAUCUAUCGACCUACAUCAAAUAUUUCAUUACCUUCUAUCAACUAGAUUAUCUUCGUCGGUAGAAAUUUCACUCUGUAUUUGUUGAUUCUCUUGGCCACUUUGACAUUCGUAGGUGGUGAUUGUUGAUAGAGUACUACACCCUCGUCAUUAAGACCAUUAAUUACAACAAGCAUCUUGAAAAUUGGCAACAGAUUUGCCGACAGCUUUUGAAAAGUGACUGAGCCUUCAUUUCGUACGGUGCGGACACAUGAGGUGAUGUGGUG